UACAGAGGUCUCAAGCGUUGUUCGGAUUCAUUGGGCGUAAAGGGUGCGUAGGUGGCGCCGUAAGUCCAGGUGUGAAAUCCCGGGGCUCAACCCCGGAACUGCACUUGAUACUGCGGUGCUCGAGUACUGGAGAGGAGAUUGGAAUUUACGGUGUAGCAGUGAAAUGCGUAGAUAUCGUAAGGAAGACCAGUGGCGAAGGCGAAUCUCUGGACAGUUACUGACACUGAGGCACGAAGGCCAGGGGAGCAAACGGG
rnacentral:rRNA from 1 species